rnacentral:lncRNA from 1 species
GCAGACCUUUGGUUUGUUGCACCAUUACACAUGAGUUAGUGUUGUAUGAACAAAGGGUGCCAUGGUCAGGGAAACUGGGGAAAUGCAGGGUCAAAGAUACCGCCCAGAGUCUGACUUUGGUGGCACUGUAGCUGUAGACUCCCAGAGCCACACACUUAAACUUCAGCCUGUCUCAGCUCCUGCUUCUUCAUCUCCCUUCCACUGCCUGCCUCACCCAAGAGAAGAAAUUGGAGCAACUCUACUUAAAAUGCUGGUCAGGAUAGGGGUGCGUGCACAUUCAACUUUGACCUCUGAUAAUGAAGUAAUGUCAAUGCUAAUCUAAAAGAACAGCUGCUUUGAAAAUCGAAGCAUAAGACAGAAUGAUUUUGCUUUAAUUUAAAAUUGAUUUUGUUCAGUUCUACCAUGUUUCUUUCAUGAUAUCAUGAAUGUCAAUGUUUAACAUAUCUCAUUUGAGCCAUAGCUUAAUACCCCAGGCUUUCAUACACAGCAACAGAUUAUUAAUGUUAUGUUAAUGAGAAAGCAAUAAUGAGAUUAUACAGAGUUCUUAUUUCAUAUAUUAUUAAUGAAGGCCUUUUGAGUUUUGGUGGUCUGAUACUUUACAGUGUGGCUGCUGAAUAGAUUAGAGAAUAUUUUUGUCUUCUCAGCAAACAAGCCCC